CUGCUUAUGAACAAAGAGUGAAAGGUAGCAACUCUAAGCAAAGAUUAUCUCACACAUUAUGACUUAAGUUUAGCUGCUGUAAAAUUUUCUUUAAACAAAAAAAAAAGAACUUAAUACUUCCAGUGUUAACUGCAUUUUCUUUUUCCCUGGUGCUUUUUACUCCACAAUGUUUAAAAUAAAAUAAAAAAAUCAAUGGGUUUCAUGAAUCUAAGAGGCUGGACUUAGAAAUUAUGUUGUGUGCCUAGUACAGUAGUAAUCAUGCUCCGUUUAUGCUUCUAGGAUCUCUUUAGAGGUUUGAGUGCUUUGCCUAGCAAAGAAACUUGCAGUGUCAACUUUGAAGUCAAAAGUAAUUCUUGUCCCAGUUACUUAGCAUUCUUGCACCUGCAUCUUUAGGUUGCUUGUGCAUCAAAUAGGGUAUCCAGGCAUGCCUAGUUUGUCAUGAAUUAUUUUAAUCGCCCCUUUGUUUCCAUUGGAUCAUAUGGAAGCAGACCUGUUUCCAAUGGUGUUUUGGUUAUUGGCAUUUAGAAUAGUCAUAACACAUUUGAGAUCAAGUAGAAAAUUAAAACACCUGAGACAUUGUGGGACCCUCUAAUCUAGUUUAGCAUCAUCUUCCCAUAACACUAUCACGAUACUAGGAUAUUAAUGGCAAAAAGGCGGAGGAAAGGAGUUGUCACUCAGUAUUAACCGAGACAAAUUCAUAAGAAGAGAUGUAGGUGGCAACUUAUCCUUUGCAUAGGUCCACUAUCAUUUUUUUACUAUGAGCCCAAUGGCUUAGGUUUAGGAUAGUGAGUACAAGAGAGGGAAUGUGUUAGGCACCCUCACUACCUGAACUUGCUUUAGAACAAAAGUUAGCCUCUAUUAAUGAUUCAUGAAGUCUGUCUUAUUGUUUCUUUUA
rnacentral:misc_RNA from 1 species